AACAUCUUUCCGCUCCACUUUUUCCUCCCUUUGUAAAACUACUCAUUCUUUAUAUUUGUAGUUUAUAACGUCUUCUUUUCAUCUCCACUUCUUUCUCCAACUCGCGAGACCUAAAAUACUUCUUUUGGUCUGCAAUAUCUCAAUUAUGAGUUACCACAUAAAGAAAUCAAAAAGUAAUUCAGUUUGCCCAUCUUGAAUGAUACGAUUUUAGUCUGAUAAGAUGAUUCAUCUGCAGGAUAAUAGAAAUGUGGAGGAUUUGGUUAUCAAAUGCUUAUUGGACUGUUUCCAAAGCCCCACAGGUAAAUAUUUUUCAUUACCUAAUUAUUGAAAAUUAUUUGCUUCAUAUUUGCGCAUAUGCUGUAAAAUUUGAUUUGACAGUUUAACUGAAAACGAGAAGGACGAUGAAGAUCCAUGUAGUACUCUUUCUCGGUCCCGUAAUCCAAAAUAUUUUCACAGGUACUCCAAUAGUAACUUUUUUCUAUACUUUCUAUUUUACCGCCACUAUUUACCAGUGCUAUAUUUGGAAAAUUGAGUGCUUUCAGUUAACAUUUGACAGAAUCAGUUAUUUUUAUUUUGCAAACAUGGAAGAACUUUAAAUUUCAUUGUUCGUCCAAUUUAUUUAUGUUAUAAUCACAAGAUUCAUGUCAAGAAUUAGUUGUUCCAUAAUUGAGGAUCAAAUGUUCCCACCAAUUAAAGAGAAAGAAAAUAAAAACAUAGAAAGUAGCGUUUGCCCUUUGGCUACAUUUUCUGGUGUUGAAAAUUUGUCGAACUAGGGUGUUCAAACCUGUGGGAUAAAAAGGUGACACUUUGCACAUUCUCUUCUUUGAGGAUUUCCUUCGUAGGCCUUUUCACAUCUCGCCUACAAGUGUAAUUUUUCGUAUGCUGAAGCUGAAAUUUCAGAACUCUUUUAAUUAUUUAUUGUUUAGUGUAUUUUAUUUUCCUUUAUUGGGAUCAAAGCAAUUUUUCCACUAAUAAGGAGAUAGAAUUUUGGUAGUAAGUUUAAAUGCGACGGUGAGAUUAUUUUUAUUAUUUCAAAGUUGUUUAAUAUAAAAUUGGUAUCUGCUGG
rnacentral:lncRNA from 1 species